AGGCAUAGGAUAAAGACCAGACAAGGAACCAGGAGACACCACGCUAGGAGAUACAUGGAAGGCACAGGAGACGCAAAUUGGAAUGGACCACAAAAAAAGGGAAUUACACACCUCAGGAGAGACAUGGAAGACACAGGAGACGUUGGAGUGGAGCAGAAGAAGGAAACUCACAAGGGGAAUGGUGGAGAUAUACUUUAACACCUGGAGCUCAGGAAGCAGAUUGGCAUGAAGCAUGUGGAGGAACAGGGAAGCACACAUCAGUAAUGACAAGUUCAUCGUGAUAAAUUUAAUUUGCC